UAGCGGCGGACGGGUGAGUAACACGUGGGUAACCUGCCUGUAAGACUGGGAUAACUUCGGGAAACCGGAGCUAAUACCGGAUACUUUCUUUUCUCGCAUGAGGGAAGAUGGAAAGAUGGUUCUGCUAUCACUUACAGAUGGACCCGCGGCGCAUUAGCUAGUUGGUGAGGUAACGGCUCACCAAGGCAACGAUGCGUAGCCGACCUGAGAGGGUGAUCGGCCACACUGGGACUGAGACACGGCCCAG
rnacentral:rRNA from 1 species